AACGAACGCUGGCGGCAGGCUUAACACAUGCAAGUCGAGCGCCCCGCAAGGGGAGCGGCAGACGGGUGAGUAACGCGUGGGAAUCUACCCAUCUCUACGGAAUAACGCAUGGAAACGUGUGCUAAUACCGUAUACGUCCUUCGGGAGAAAGAUUUAUCGGAGAUGGAUGAGCCCGCGUUGGAUUAGCUAGUUGGUGGGGUAAAGGCCUACCAAGGCGACGAUCCAUAGCCGGUCUGAAAGGAUGAUCAGCCACACUGGGACUGAGACACGGCCCAGACUCCUACGGGAGGCAGCAGUGGGGAAUAUUGGACAAUGGGCGCAAGCCUGAUCCAGCCAUGCCGCGUGAGUAAUGAAGGCCCUAGGGUUGUAAAGCUCUUUCACCGGUGAAGAAAAUGACGGUAACCGGAGAAGAAGCCCCGGCUAACUUCGUGCCAGCCGCCGCCGUAACAC
rnacentral:rRNA from 1 species